rnacentral:rRNA from 1 species
AUUGAACGCUGGCGGCAUGCUUUACACAUGCAAGUCGAACGGUAGAGGGGGCAACCCCUUGAGAGUGGCGAACGGGUGAGUAAUGCAUCGGAACGUGCCCAGUCGUGGGGGAUAACGCAGCGAAAGCUGUGCUAAUACCGCAUACGAUCUCUGGAUGAAAGCGGGGGACCGAAAGGCCUCGCGCGAUUGGAGCGGCCGAUGUCAGAUUAGGUAGUUGGUGGGGUAAAGGCCUACCAAGCCAACGAUCUGUAGCUGGUCUGAGAGGACGACCAGCCACACUGGGACUGAGACACGGACCAGACGCCUACGGGAGGCAGCAGUGGGGAAUUUUGGACAAUGGGCGCAAGCCUGAUCCAGCAAUGCCGCGUGCAGGAAGAAGGCCUUCGGGUUGUAAACUGCUUUUGUACGGAACGAAACGGUCUGGGUUAAUACCCUGGGCUAAUGACGGUACCGUAAGAAUAAGCACCGGCUAACUACGUGCCAGCCGCCGCCGUAA